GACUGGCCGACUGAUGGAGGAGGGGCCCGUCCAGAGGGAACAGGGCUCCCAUCCCGCCUUCCUGCAGUCAUGAGAGGAGAAUAGAAUGUGCUUUGCUUGUGUUUGCUUAGUUAAUCUUCACAACAAGCCUAUGAGGAAUCACAUCCAAAUGGAGAGGUCUCUUCUCACUGAGCAACCUCGGAGGGCUUCCUGCAGAAGGCAGCAGCCUGGUGCAAUGAGAAGGCUGGCUUGGGCUGAGACCAGGAUCGGGCCGGCAGCUUGGUUCCUUGGCCUGUGUGCCCUGGAUGAGGAAACUGUAGCUCCGAGUGGACAACCGAUCCAUCCCCGGUCACACAGACAGAAUUCAGCCCCACACAGCCUGGCUCACGUGUCCAGGCGACGCCGCCCUGUUGCCCACAGCUCCUGGACGCUUCCCUGCUCCUUCAGCCACCGCACGGUGAGCCGUGAUGGGCAGGCAGCUGGCGAGCUUGGAGACGGCCCGCCCCCUCCCUUGGCAUCUCCAGCCUACGGGGCACUGACGGCCCCCUGGGCACGGACCCCCUC